rnacentral:misc_RNA from 1 species
GAUGAAGAACGCAGCGAAAUGCGAUAAGUAAUGUGAAUUGCAGAAUCCAGUGAAUCAUCGAAUCUUUGAACGCACAUUGCGCCCGCCAGUAUUCUGGCGGGCAUGCCUGUCCGAGCGUCAUUUCAACCAUCAAGCCCCAGGCUUGUGUUGGGGACCUGCGUCCGACGCAGGCCCUGAAAACCAGUGGCGGGCUCGCUGUCCACACCGAGCGUAGUAACUAACCUCGCUACGGGAGCGGCGCGGGCGCCUGCCGUAAAACCCCCAAUUUUCACAAGGUUGACCUCGGAUCAGGUAGGAAUACCCGCUGAACUUAAGCAUAUCAAUAAGCGGAGGA